GGACGAACGCUGGCGGCGUGCCUAAUACAUGCAAGUGGAACGCAAUUAAUUCUCCCGUAGCUUGCUACAUUUGAAUUGAUUGAGUCGCGAACGGGUGAGUAACGCGUAGGUAACCUACCUUAUAGCGGGGGAUAACUAUUGGAAACGAUAGCUAAUACCGCAUAAGAGUUGACAACACAUGUUGUUAAUUUAAAAGGAGCAAUUGCUUCACUAUGAGAUGGACCUGCGUUGUAUUAGCUAGUUGGUAAGGUAACGGCUUACCAAGGCAUCGAUACAUAGCCGACCUGAGAGGGUGAUCGGCCACACUGGGACUGAGACACGGCCCAGACUCCUACGGGAGGCAGCAGUAGGGAAUCUUCGGCAAUGGGGGGAACCCUGACCGAGCAACGCCGCGUGAGUGAAGAAGGUUUUCGGAUCGUAAAGCUCUGUUAUAAGCGAAGAACGGGAGUAAGAGU
rnacentral:rRNA from 1 species